rnacentral:tRNA from 1 species
UCCCAGGUGGCUCAGUGGUAAAGAAUCUGCCUGCCAAGCAGGAAAUGCAGGUUUGAUCCCUGGGUUGGGAA